rnacentral:lncRNA from 12 species
AUGCCCCCACUUCCCCAUAAAGGAGAAAGGGCAGCCUUCCUCCCCCUCCCUCCCUCCCCCCGCAAACCUGAGCCCCAAAGGGAGCCGGGUCCCCGAGGCCCCCGCCCCAGGCCGCCCUGGACGCGGGCCCUGCGUGGAGUCCCGCUGCCUGGCGCUGGCCCUGCUCGGCCCCGCGGCGCAGCCUCCGCAUCUGGGAGGAAAAGAACAGGCGGCGGGGAGGCGACCCAGGGCGGGGGCCGGCCGCGGUGGCCGCUGCGCCGCUCGGGCCUCCCGGGGGCCCCGGCCCCUCCCGCUCCUCCCCGCCCCCUCCUCCCCGAGUCCCACCUCGAGUCCCGCGCCCUUAGGAGGAGGUCGAUGGCUUUGCCCGGUCACCGGCAGGGAUCGGCCCCUUCUCGCUGCGCCGGGACCAUUUUCAGACUCAACCUUUCUGACCUGGAAAUGCCAAUAGAAGUAAUCAUCAUCGCCAGGGGCUGUGGUGAGCAAAUGCUUGGAGCUCUGUGGCCAGGGCAGUUUCAUUUGAGGACCAGAGAUGGACAAUCCCUCAGCCUACUGAGCCCCUAG